rnacentral:rRNA from 1 species
CCUACGGGAGGCAGCAGUGGGGAAUCUUGGACAAUGGGGACAACCCUGAUCCAGCCAUGCCGCGUGAGUGAUGAAGGCCUUAGGGUCGUAAAGCUCUUUCGCCUGUGAUGAUAAUGACAGUAGCAGGCAAAGAAACCCCGGCUAACUCCGUGCCAGCAGCCGCGGUAAUACGGAGGGGGUUAGCGUUGUUCGGAAUUACUGGGCGUAAAGCGCGCGUAGGCGGAUUAGUCAGUUAGAGGUGAAAUCCCAGGGCUCAACCCUGGAACUGCCUUUAAUACUGCUAGUCUUGAGUUCGAGAGAGGUGAGUGGAAUUCCGAGUGUAGAGGUGAAAUUCGUAGAUAUUCGGAGGAACACCAGUGGCGAAGGCGGCUCACUGGCUCGAUACUGACGCUGAGGUGCGAAAGUGUGGGGAGCAAACAGGAUUAGAUACCCUGGUAGUCCACACCGUAAACGAUGAAUGCCAGUCGUCGGGUAGCAUGCUAUUCGGUGACACACCUAACGGAUUAAGCAUUCCGCCUGGGGAGUACGGUCGCAAGAUUAAAACUCAAAGGAAUUGACGGGG